GUUUACGUUCAUAUCACACUGAAAGCACUGCAUACCGCCUGAUCUGCGAAGCUAAGCAGCGCUGAGUUAUUGUCAGUACCAGAAUCAAAGAGGGUGUGGGAGCAUGCAGUGUCGUAAACA
rfam:Trichinella sp. T6 scaffold101s, whole genome shotgun sequence.